GGUGUUGUGCUCAGCUGCAGCCAGCUGUGGCCACACAGGAUCAGGGCUCCACGUCUCAAGAGAAGCUAGGAAAGUCAGCUUUCGUGCAAAACGUCGAGAUUUUUAAAAAACUCAAGGCAGGCCAAGCAAAACCCCAUCUGUGGCCCUCCAGUCCCUGGAGGGGAGCCAAGUAGGGUUUCCAAACAGGCCUAUGACACAGUCCCAUUUGAGUUUUGGACGAAUGGCUUCAGUGACAGACUGAACAGGAAGAAGGCAGUGGCUGUGGGCAGCACGUUGCAGCUCCCCAAAGGCCUUCAGAGAAACCCAAGGGCUCGAUGGCGGCCCCGGCCCUAACUUCUGGAGGACCCUUAUUUGAGUGGGUGGGAGAGUGGGCCAGCUGGACCCCAGACACAUGCUGGGGAGUGGGGAGAAUGGACUAUCACUUUUCCCUUAGUUCCCAAAGCCACCCAGGCCAUUGGGUCCAUGCCCACCCUGGGCCGCAAAGACCACGGGUUACUAAGGGUCAGUCCCUGGACAGAUGUGGCCACAGGCCAUCCCAAAGGACCAUGGGAGAAGCUGGAAUGACACAUCACACUCCAGGCUGGGUUGUGACCCCAGGGGAUCACACUGGGGUAACUGCAGGUCAUCGGAAAUGGAGUAAACAGAGGCUGUGCUCUGACCUGCUUGGACCCUUUGGAGGUACCGCAACCAGGCUCUCCCCUCCCCGGCCGGGGCACAACCUCCCUGCUUCCUUUCCAUUGGCCACAGUCUCUGGACUGCAGCUCCCCUGAAAGAAACCAGCCAAGUCCCAGAGGAAACAGAGGACUAGCCAGCCGUGCAGGGGGGAUGACACUCGGAGGCUGAAGUUUCGGUGACCACGGUCGACCGAAGUCCUGAAGGAGAUGACCCUCCUUCCGAAGUCUCAUCAGGAGGUCAGUGGUAGCAUCGCGCUACGUCACAGGGCCUCCAUCACUCACCCGACUCACUUCAUCUCGUUACACAGGCAUUUUCUCAUCUCCCAUCAUCAUAAGGAUAAGGGUAUUUGUGGUUGUUGGAGCGACUUCUGCCUGCGCUAAACCACCCCACCCUGAGGUUUUGAAGUGAAGUGUUUUGAUUGGCUCCGAAUGUGAUCAUGUGAUUGAGCAUUGGCCAAUGAGAUCAUCGCAUUCCUGCCAAGUUAUCGGCUCAGAAAUCCCAGUGCCACCCAACGCAAGAGGAAGUGAGAUGGAAGAGAAGCCAACCAACCGGAAGGAGAACUGGCCUUAACUGGUGGUGGGCGAACCAUCCUAUUCGUGCAAAUCACAUGGAAACACGUGACCCUAGAGAGAGAGAGAGAGAGAGAGAGAAUCUCAAGCAGGCU